GAUGAACGCUGGCGGCGUGCCUAAUACAUGCAAGUCGAGCGAACAGAUAAGGAGCUUGCUCCUUUGACGUUAGCGGCGGACGGGUGAGUAACACGUGGGUAACCUACCUAUAAGACUGGGAUAACUUCGGGAAACCAGAGCUAAUACCGGAUAAUAUUUCGAACCGCAUUGUUCGAUAGUGAAAGAUGGUUUUGCUAUCACUUAUAGAUGGACCCGCGCCGUAUUAGCUAGUUGGUAAGGUAACGGCUUACCAAGGCGACGAUACGUAGCCGACCUGAGAGGGUGAAUGCCCACACUGGAACUGAGGCACGGUCCAGACUCCUACGGGAGGCAGCAGUAGGGAAUCUUCCGCGAUGGGGGAAAGCCUGACGGAGCAACGCCGCGUGAGUGAUGAAGGUCUUCGGAUCGUAAAACUCUGUUAUUAGGGAAGAACAUACGUGUAAGUAACUGUGCACGUCUUGACGGUACCUAAUCAGAAAGCCACGGCUAACUACGUG
rnacentral:rRNA from 1 species